UGGGAUGAGGUAGUAGUUUGUAUAGUUUUAGGAUCACACCAGAUCUGGGAGAUAACUAUACAGUCUACUGUCUUUCC
ensembl:miRNA mirlet7g-2 microRNA let-7f-2